CGACCCCCGGAAGCGUCCUGCAGUCGGCGUCUGGGCACGUGAUGGGAGAAGGUCGACCGUUCGCGCUUCACUGAUAACUUCACCGGUGCCAGGCUUCGGCAUCGCCAGUUCGUGGGAUUGACCCGGCGUUUGCGAGCCUAUGUGCACGUCGUUGGGCACCCGAAGCUCGAGUCAUCUCUACUGAGCAGCAACCGUGUGCCAGGCUCUGUGUUAAGAAUAAAAUGGCGACCUUCAGGUUCGGUUUCCUGGCUGAGGUGUCUCUGACAGCAGCCCAUAUGACCCUACAGGACAACAGCUUCCUCGUGGUUCAGUUUCUGGAAGACGUUCUCCCAUCAUCACACUCCUCGCCACCACUCCUCCCAUAAAAGAGAUAAGAGUUCCAGAAGGAAAAACUGAAGGGAAGAGUGGAUAAGCUAUACUUUAAAAAAGAAGAAAGAAAUGACUGAAGAUUUUCUAAUCAAAACAUCAGAACACCAUAUGUACUGAGCAAGAGAACAAUGACUCUGCAUUGACCGAAGUUGGGAGGUGUGUCCAAUUAUACAACCAAACUGAGGUUACUUACAAAUGCUGGAAAUUAGGAGCUAUUUUUCCAAAGACACUUUAUUCAGUAGCUUCAAGCAUGAAAACAGUUUAAAGAACUUACAGAUUUCCAAUUAUAAUUUUAAGCUUUGUAUUUAUUUUACAGCCAUUCCAAAAUGCAAAUGAGGUUCAAAGUUCCAAACAUGCUGUGCAAUUUCAAUUUAAUAUUCUAAUGCAUGGAGUGAAGUUUGAGCCUAUAAUACAGAAACAGGACUACUUGAACAGCCAAGAAACCCUUUGGAGCCUUAAAGGGAAAUCUGUUUGGGAGUCUGCAGACUAAAAUGUUUCUGGUAGGAAUGGAGCCACAGUGGGAUGUGUGGCUCUAGCAUUGCCUCUCAAGUGAUGGCCAGGAUGUGUUUUGAAAAGACAAAACUCUUUUUGUGUCUGAUUUUUAAAGUUAACACUUAUUUGAGGGCUAAUAUUGCACUAAAUUUCA